UGCUAUUGGGAUCCGACUAAGCCAUGCGAGUCGAGAGGGUUCGGCCCUCGGCGAACUGCUCAGUAACACGUGGAUAAUCUGCCCUUAGGUGGAGGAUAACCUCGGGAAACUGAGAAUAAUACUCCAUAGAUCUUUGAGGCUGGAAUGCGCUAAGAUUGAAAGCUUCGGCGCCUAAGGAUGAGUCUGCGGACUAUCAGGUUGUAGUCAGGGUAAAGACCUGACUAGCCUACGACGGAUACGGGUUGUGAGAGCAAUAACCCGGAGAUGAUAUCUGAGACACGAUAUCAGGCCCUACGGGGCGCAGCAGGCGCGAAAACUUCACAAUGCGCGAAAGCGCGAUGAGGGAAUCCCAAGUGCUUGCACGUAAGUGUAAGCUGUUUUUCUGUUUAAAAAGCAGAGAGAGUAAGAGCUGGGUAAGACGGGUGCCAGCCGCCGCGGUAAUACCUGCAGCUCAAGUGGUGGCCGCUAUUAUUGGGCCUAAAACGUCCGUAGCCGGCUAAGUAAAUGCCUGGGUAAAUCGUGCCGCUUAACGGUACGAAUUCCGGGUAGACUGCUUAGCUUGGGACCGGAAGAAGUUAGAGGUACUCCUGGGGUAGGGGUGAAAUCCUGUAAUCCUGGGGGGACCACCAGUGGCGAAGGCGUCUAACUAGGACGGGUCU
rnacentral:rRNA from 1 species